rnacentral:rRNA from 2 species
UGUGAGACAGGUGCUGCAUGGCUGUCGUCAGCUCGUGUUGUGAAAUGUUGGGUUAAGUCCCGCAACGAGCGCAACCCUUAUCCUUUGUUGCCAGCGGUCCGGCCGGGAACUCAAAGGAGACUGCCAGUGAUAAACUGGAGGAAGGUGGGGAUGACGUCAAGUCAUCAUGGCCCUUACGACCAGGGCUACACACGUGCUACAAUGGCGCAUACAAAGAGAAGCGACCUCGCGAGAGCAAGCGGACCUCAUAAAGUGCGUCGUAGUCCGGAUUGGAGUCUGCAACUCGACUCCAUGAAGUCGGAAUCGCUAGUAAUCGUGGAUCAGAAUGCCACGGUGAAUACGUUCCCGGGCCUUGUACACACCGCCCGUCACACCAUGGGAGUGGGUUGCAAAAGAAGUAGGUAGCUUAACCUUCGGGAGGGCGCUUACCACUUUGUGAUUCAUGACUGGGGUGAAGUCGUAACAAGGUAACCGUAGGGGAACCUGC